UGAAACCGAGCGCUGAGUGUUGGAAGAUCUGCUCUGCAAAGUGGACGUGUUGUAGACGGUAGUUCAGUUACUGUAGAGUUAGCGCACAAUUUCAGACCAAGCAGUAAUAAAUCAGUUGCUUUCGGUUAUUCUGGUGUGAAAAACAAGUCGGAUGAUAGUUUUUGAUUGACUGAUUACUGUCUUAAGUGUCAGCAGAUUUUUUUGUACAGUGCAAAAACGAGCAAAAUUAAGUGUAGAAUUAAUUCGGUCAAGUUAAAUCCGGAGACUGCGGUUUUUGAUUCGUUUUGCGAGGACACUAGUAUGUAAAUUAUUAUUUUUAAAAAUCGGCAGUGUAAAACGGCGGUGCAUCGUUUACGCUUUCAUCAAGUGAAGGCAUAUAAUAGUGUGCGCGUGUGUAAAUAAAAGUGGAAUUCAAGUGAUUCUCACCUAAAAAUAAAUUGCUGAUACAAUCUGUGGAUAGAAUUCUGGUAGGUCACCUGAUGAGAUGUAUCCGGUUCUUUUGACGACAACUAAGAAAUGCAA